AGAGUUUGAUCCUGGCUCAGAUUGAACGCUGGCGGCAUGGCUAAAACAUGCAAGUCGAACGCGUGUAGCAAUACACGAGUGGCGAAAGGGCGAGGAAUAGAUUCCUACGUACCCCGGAGUCAGGGAUAACCAUCGGAAACGGUGGCUAACACCUGAUGAUCUCGAAAGAGCAAAGUUUACGCUCUGGGAGCGGGGGAUCUCCUAUCAGGUAGUUGGUGAGGUAAUGGCUCACCAAGCCUUAGACGGGUAGCGGGUGUGAGAGCACGGCCCGCCGCAUCGGGACUGAGACACUGCCCGGACUCCUACGGGAGGCUGCAGUAACGAAUCUUCCGCAAUGCACGAAAGUGUGACGGGGCAAUGCCGCGUGUGGGAUGAAGCCCCUCGGGGUGUAAACCACUGUCAGGGUCUAGGAACACAAUGACCAUACCCAAAGGAAGCACCGGCUAACUCUGUGCCAGCAGCCGCGGUAAUACAGAGGGUGCGAGCGUUAAUCGGGAUUACUGGGCUUAAAGGGUCCGUAGGCUGGGCUGUAGGCGUCGAGUGAAAUACCACGGCUCAACCGUGGAACUGCUCGGCGAACCACAGCUCUUGAGGCGAGCAGAGGCGAUCAGAACGAUAGGUGGAGCGGUGAAAUGCGUAGAUAUCUAUCGGAAUGCCGAAGGUGAAGACAGGUCGCUGGGCUCGUCCUGACGCUGAGGGACGAAAGCGUGGGGAGCAAACGGGAUUAGAUACCCCGGUAGUCCACGCCGUAAACAAUGCGCACUGGGUCGGAGGGGUUUGACGCCUUUCUGGCCGAAGCAAAAGUGUUAAGUGCGCCGCCUGGGGAGUACGGUCGCAAGGCUAAAACUCAAAUGAAUUGACGGGGACCCGCACAAGCGGUGGAGCAUGUGGUUUAAUUCGAUACUAACCGAAGAACCUUACCCAGGUUUGACAUCGAUCGCAAAGCGUUGAAAGGCGCUCCUCCCCCACAAGGGGACGUGAAGACAGAUGUUGCAUGGCUGUCGUCAGCUCGUGCCGUGAGGUGUACGGUUAAGUCCGCCAACGAGCGCAACCCACGUUCUGUGUUACCAGCGAGUAAAGUCGGGCACUCACAGGAGACCGCCGGUGUAAGCCGGAGGAAGGUGUGGAUGACGUCAAGUCAGCAUGGCUCUUACGCCUGGGGCUACACACAUGCUACAAUGGGCGCAACAAAGGGCAGCAAUACCGCGAGGUGGAGCCAAUCCCAAAAAUACGCCCUCAGUUCAGAUUGUAGUCUGCAACUCGACUACAUAAAGUCGGAAUCGCUAGUAAACGCAGGUCAGCUAUACUGCGUUGAAUACGUUCCCGGGUCUUGUACACACCGCCCGUCAAGUCACCUGAAUUGUCUUCACCCGAAGUCCGUGGCCUAACCGAAAGGAGGGAGCGGCCGAAGGUGAGGGGAGUAAGGGGGACUAAGUCGUAACAAGGUAACCGU
rnacentral:rRNA from 1 species